rnacentral:rRNA from 1 species
GAUGAACGCUAGCGGCAGGCCUAACACAUGCAAGUCGAGGGAGAAGCCCUUCGGGGCAGAAACCGGCGCACGGGUGCGUAACGCGUAUGCAACCUACCUUUCACAGGGGGAUAGCCCGAAGAAAUUUGGGUUAAUACCCCAUAAUAUUAUUGGAUGGCAUCACUUGAUAAUUAAAAUUACGAUGGUGAAAGAUGGGCAUGCGUCCUAUUAGCUAGUUGGAGUGGUAACGGCACCCCAAGGCUACGAUAGGUAGGGGUCCUGAGAGGGAGAUCCCCCACACUGGUACUGAGACAGGGACCAGACUCCUACGGGAGGCAGCAGUGAGGAAUAUUGGUCAAUGGUCGGAAGACUGAACCAGCCAUGCCGCGUGCAGGAAGAAUGCCUUAUGGGUUGUAAACUGCUUUUAUAUGGGAAGAAUAAGGUGUACGUGUACAUUGAUGACGGUACCAUAUGAAU